GUGAAUCAUCAAAUCUUUGAACGCAUAUUGCACUCUCUGGUAUUCCGGAGAGUAUACCUAUUUGAGGGCCAUUUUAAAUAAUAUUAUUUCCAAGAUUUGUCGUAAUUUAGAAUUGGUUGUCCAUUUUUUGUGUUAGCGUAAAAUCCAUGACAAGGUCAUUUUCUUUGGUUGCGUGAUACUUUCAGUUACCUCGUUACUUAACCAGGUAUCAUCGUGCGUUUUAUGAAUUUUUCAAGACAUAAAAUAUUCCAUAUAUGUAUCUCAUUCGAAAUAUAAAUAGAAUUAUGACC
rnacentral:misc_RNA from 1 species